AACGAACGCUGGCGGCAUGCCUAACACAUGCAAGUCGAACGAGACCUUCGGGUCUAGUGGCGCACGGGUGCGUAACGCGUGGGAAUCUGCCCUUCGGAUCGGAAUAACUCAGGGAAACUUGAGCUAAUACCGGAUGAUGUCUUCGGACCAAAGAUUUAUCGCCGAGGGAUGAGCCCGCGUAGGAUUAGGUAGUUGGUGGGGUAAUGGCCCACCAAGCCGACGAUCCUUAGCUGGUCUGAGAGGAUGAUCAGCCACACUGGGACUGAGACACGGCCCAGACUCCUACGGGAGGCAGCAGUGGGGAAUAUUGGACAAUGGGCGAAAGCCUGAUCCAGCAAUGCCGCGUGAGUGAUGAAGGCCUUAGGGUUGUAAGGCUCUUUUACCAGGGAUGAUAAUGACAGUACCUGGAGAAUAAGCUCCGGCUAACUCCGUGCCAGCAGCCGCAGUAA
rnacentral:rRNA from 1 species